CACGUAGGGUGCGAGCGUUGUCCGGAAUCAUUGGGCGUAAAGAGCGUGUAGGUGGCUUGGAAAGUCUUACGUGAAAGCCUGCGGCUCAACCGCAGAAGUGCGUGGGAAACUUCCUCGCUAGAGUCCGGAAGAGGAGAGCGGAAUUCCUGGUGUAGCGGUGGAAUGCGCAGAUAUCAGGAGGAACACCCGUGGCGAAGGCGGCUCUCUGGGACGGUACUGACACUGAGACGCGAAAGCGUGGGGAGCGAACAGG
rnacentral:rRNA from 1 species